CGGUGUGCCUAAUACAUGCAAGUCGAACGCGUUGGCCCAAUUGAUUGAUGGUGCUUGCACCUGAUUGAUUUUGGUCGCCAACGAGUGGCGGACGGGUGAGUAACACGUAGGUAACCUGCCCAGAAGCGGGGGACAACAUUUGGAAACAGAUGCUAAUACCGCAUAACAACGUUGUUCGCAUGAACAACGCUUAAAAGAUGGCUUCUCGCUAUCACUUCUGGAUGGACCUGCGGUGCAUUAGCUUGUUGGUGGGGUAACGGCCUACCAAGGCGAUGAUGCAUAGCCGAGUUGAGAGACUGAUCGGCCACAAUGGGACUGAGACACGGCCCAUACUCCUACGGGAGGCAGCAGUAGGGAAUCUUCCACAAUGGGCGCAAGCCUGAUGGAGCAACACCGCGUGAGUGAAGAAGGGUUUCGGCUCGUAAAGCUCUGUUGUUAAAGAAGAACACGUAUGAGAGUAACUGUUCAUACGUUGACGGUAUUUAACCAGAAAGUCACGGCUAACUACGUGCCAGCAGCCGCGGUAAUACGUAGGUGGCAAGCGUUAUCCGGAUUUAUUGGGCGUAAAGAGAGUGCAGGCGGUUUUCUAAGUCUGAUGUGAAAGCCUUCGGCUUAACCGGAGAAGUGCAUCGGAAACU
rnacentral:rRNA from 2 species